UACAGAGGUCCCAAGCGUUGUUCGGAUUCACUGGGCGUAAAGGGUGCGUAGGCGGUCGGGUAAGUCUGGCGUGAAAUCUCCAAGCCUAAUUUGGAAACUGCGUUGGAUACUAUCCGGCUCGAGGAAUGGAGGGGAGACUGGAAUACUUGGUGUAGCAGUGAAAUGCGUAGAUAUCAAGUGGAACACCAGUGGCGAAGGCGAGUCUCUGGACAUUUCCUGACGCUGAGGCACGAAAGCCAGGGGAGCAAACGGG
rnacentral:rRNA from 1 species